GAGAAGCUUGCUUCUCUGAUGUUAGCGGCGGACGGGUGAGUAACACGUGGGUAACCUACCUAUAAGACUGGGAUAACUCCGGGAAACCGGGGCUAAUACCGGAUAAUAUUUUGAACCGCAUGGUUCAAUAGUGAAAGACGGUUUCGGCUGUCACUUAUAGAUGGACCCGCGCCGUAUUAGCUAGUUGGUAAGGUAAUGGCUUACCAAGGCGACGAUACGUAGCCGACCUGAGAGGGUGAUCGGCCACACUGGAACUGAGACACGGUCCAGACUCCUACGGGAGGCAGCAGUAGGGAAUCUUCCGCAAUGGGCGAAAGCCUGACGGAGCAACGCCGCGUGAGUGAUGAAGGUCUUCGGAUCGUAAAACUCUGUUGUUAGGGAAGAACAAAUUUGUUAGUAACUGAACAAGUCUUGACGGUACCUAACCAGAAAGCCACGGCUAACUACGUGCCAGCAGCCGCGGUAAUACGUAGGUGGCAAGCGUUAUCCGGAAUUAUUGGGCGUAAAGCGCGCGUAGGCGGUUUCUUAAGUCUGAUGUGAAAGCCCACGGCUCAACCGUGGAGGGUCAUUGGAAACUGGGAAACUUGAGUGCAGAAGAGGAGAGUGGAAUUCCAUGUGUAGCGGUGAAAUGCGCAGAGAUAUGGAGGAACACCAGUGGCGAAGGCGGCUCUCUGGUCUGUAACUGACGCUGAUGUGCGAAAGCGUGGGGAUCAACAGGAUUAGAUACCCUGGUAGUCCACGCCGUAAACGAUGAGUGCUAAGUGUUAGGGGGUUUCCGCCCCUUUAGUGCUGCAGCUAACGCAUUAAGCACUCCGCCUGGGGAGUACGACCGCAAGGUUGAAACUCAAAGGAAUUGACGGGGACCCGCACAAGCGGUGGAGCAUGUG
rnacentral:rRNA from 2 species